rnacentral:rRNA from 1 species
AUUGAACGCUGGCGGCAGGCUUAACACAUGCAAGUCGAACGAGUGGCGGUCGGGUGAGUAAUGCUUGGGAAUCUGUCUUAUGGCUGGUGAUAACUACGAGAAACUGUAGCUAAUACCGCAUACCAUAAUUUGAUCCCAAGUGGGAUUAGGUACUUGGUGAGGUAAAGGCUCACCAAGCCGACGAUCACUAGCUGGUUUGAGAGGAUGACCCGCAAACCGGGAAUGGAGAAACGGCCCGGACUCCUACGGGAGGAAGAAGUGGGAAAUAUGGGGAAAGGGGGGAAACCUGACGCAGACAUGCCGCGUGAAUGAAGAAGGUCUUGGGGUUGGAAAGUUCUUUCGGUAGGGAGGCGUUAACUACAGAAGAAGCACCGGCUAACUCCGUGCCAGCAGCCGCGGUAAUAC